GAUGAACGCUAGCGGCAGGCCUAACACAUGCAAGUCGAGGGAGAAGCCCUUUCGGGGGCAGAAACCGGCGCACGGGUGCGUAACGCGUAUGCAACCUACCUUUCACAGGGGGAUAGCCCGAAGAAAUUUGGAUUAAUACCCCAUAAUAUUAUUGGAUGGCAUCAUUUGAUAAUUAAAACUGCGGUGGUGAAAGAUGGGCAUGCGUCCUAUUAGCUGGUUGGAGUGGUAACGGCACCCCAAGGCUACGAUAGGUAGGGGUCCUGAGAGGGAGAUCCCCCACACUGGUACUGAGACAGGGACCAGACUCCUACGGGAGGCAGCAGUGAGGAAUAUUGGUCAAUGGUCGGAAGACUGAACCAGCCAUGCCGCGUGCAGGAAGAAUGCCUUAUGGGUUGUAAACUGCUUUUAUAUGGGAAGAAUAAGGCGUACGUGUACGUUGAUGACGGUACCAUAUGAAUAAGCAUCGGCUAACUCCGUG
rnacentral:rRNA from 1 species